CUAGUUACAUCAAAUCACUCUUUUCUUCCCUGAAAUGACCAUUUUCUGUUCUGGAUCAGGACUUUACCCAUUCUGUUUCCUUUAACUGAAACAUCUUUCAUCUCCUCACUAAGAUUUAGCCCAUUCAUCUGGUUAAGUUUUACUUACUCUUCAACUCUUAGUUUACAAAUCACUUCCUCCAAGAGACAUUUCCUGAGCCCUUCCAGUAUUAUUUAGCUAAUGAGGUGUCAUGAUAACAAUCAUUUCAUUUUACUAUGAUUUGCUAGUGAAAGGAAAUGAGCAAAGAGAAAUGAACUGACUUGUCCAAGGUUAUAAAACCUACUAACGGCAGAGCCAAGGCUUGAUGCCGGAUUGUUGUCUCCAUUUUCUUCCAUUAUUACCACAUCAGUAAGCAGUACCCAACUCCACCCAGUUUCACCCAGCCUCUGUGGAAUACUGAGAUGUAAAAUCUAAACAAACAAACAAACAAACAAAGGCCUUCUAUGAGUGCCUACAUGAGGUGGAGCUAAUUCAUGAGGCCGACUAAGACAUCCUGACUGCUGCUCCUUGCCAGCUCUGCCAAGCCUCCUGCCCUGGAACAUCAAGUUCUAUGAUCUUACUGAGGACUGAUGCAUAUCUGCUUUCUUCUUGCUGCCAAUGUUAACAUGUAACAAUUAUAAUUUGGUUAGCUCUCCCCAGAGUUCACAUUAAGAGCCCACUGUUCUCUGUUUUGCCACUUUGCUUUUUGAACAAUUCCCUCAGGAGCACAAAGUAUGUUUUGCAUUACUCUUUGAAGCUAGACUACAAAGAAAAAAGCAACAUAAUUCAAGGCCAUAAAAAUAUGUUUGUUUUCCACCCCAUUCAUUUAGGAACUCCAGUUACAUUGUACUUUGUGUCUUAA
rnacentral:lncRNA from 1 species